rnacentral:rRNA from 1 species
AAGCCAGUGGUGAACUCCACAUCCGCAUCCUUUGCUGAGGAUACGGUUAACGGAGCGAAAGCGACGUUCAACCGCAAAACAAGCAGAGGGGGCUUAGUGGUGGGGUGACUGCGUACCUUUUGUAUAAUGGGUCAGCGACUUAUAUUCUGUAGCAAGGUUAACCGUAUAGGGGAGCCGGAGGGAAACCGAGUCUUAAUUGGGCGUUAAGUUGCAGGGUAUAGACCCGAAACCCGGUGAUCUAGCCAUGGGCAGGUUGAAGGUUGGGUAACACUAACUGGAGGACCGAACCGACUAAUGUUGAAAAAUUAGCGGAUGACCUGUGGCUGGGGGUGAAAGGCCAAUCAAACCGGGAGAUAGCUGGUUCUCCCCGAAAGCUAUUUAGGUAGCGCCUCGUGAAUUCAUCUCCGGGGGUAGAGCACUGUUUCGGCUAGGGGGCCAUCCCGGCUUACCAACCCGAUGCAAACUGCGAAUACCGGAGAAUGUUAUCACGGGAGACACACGGCGGGUGCUAACGUCCGUCGUGAAGAGGGAAACAACCCAGACCGCCAGCUAAGGUCCCAAAGUCAUGGUUAAGUGGGAAACGAUGUGGGAAGGCCCAGACAGCCAGGAUGUUGGCUUAGAAGCAGCCAUCAUUUAAAGAAAGCGUAAUAGCUCACUGGUCGAGUCGGCCUGCGCGGAAGAUGUAACGGGGCUAAACCAUGCACCGAAGCUGCGGCAGCGAACGUAUCACCCAAGACAACUUUACGGAGUUGACGAUUGACGGAGCGAAGCGACGUCAAAGCGUUCAUUAAAGUCGAGUUGGCUUAGGGAUACGUUCGUUGGGUAGGGGAGCGUUCUGUAAGCCUGUGAAGGUGUGUCGUGAGGCAUGCUGGAGGUAUCAGAAGUGCGAAUGCUGACAUAAGUAACGAUAAAGCGGGUGAAAAGCCCGCUCGCCGGAAGACCAAGGGUUCCUGUCCAACGUUAAUCGGGGCAGGGUGAGUCGACCCCUAAGGCGAGGCCGAAAGGCGUAGUCGAUGGGAAACGGGUUAAUAUUCCCGUACUUGGUGUUACUGCGAAGGGGGGACGGAGAAGGCUAUGUUGGCCGGGCGACGGUUGUCCCGGUUUAAGCGUGUAGGUGUGUGUUCCAGGUAAAUCCG